GACGAACGCUGGCGGCGUGCCUAAUACAUGCAAGUAGAACGCUGAGGAGAGGAGCUUGCUCUUCUUGGAUGAGUUGCGAACGGGUGAGUAACGCGUAGGUAACCUGACUUGUAGCGGGGGAUAACUAUUGGAAACGAUAGCUAAUACCGCAUAACAAUGGAUGACACAUGUCAUUUAUUUGAAAGGGGCAAUUGCUCCACUACAAGAUGGACCUGCGUUGUAUUAGCUAGUAGGUGAGGUAAUGGCUCACCUAGGCGACGAUACAUAGCCGACCUGAGAGGGUGAUCGGCCACACUGGGACUGGGACACGGCCCAGACUCCUGCGGGAGGCAGCAGUAGGGAAUCUUCGGCGAUGGGGGCAACCCUGACCGAGCAACGCCGCGUGAGUGAAGAAGGUUUUCGGAUCGUAAAGCUCUGUUGUAAGUCAAGAACGGGUGUGAGAGUUGAAAGUUCACACUGUGACGGUAGCUUACCAGAAAGGGACGGCUAACUACGUG
rnacentral:rRNA from 1 species